rnacentral:rRNA from 1 species
GCGAUUACUAGCGAAUCCAUCUUCACGAAGUCGGGUUGCAGACUCCGAUCCGAACUGAGACAGGCUUUCGAGAUUCGCUCCACAUCACUGUGUCGCUGCCCUCUGUACCUGCCAUUGUAGCACGUGUGUCGCCCCGAACGUAAGGGCCGUGCUGAUUUGACGUCAUCCCCGCCUUCCUCGCAGCUUGCGCCGGCAGUCCACAUAGAGUCCCCACCAUAACGUGCUGGUAACUAUGUGCAGGGGUUGCGCUCGUUAUAGGACUUAACCUGACACCUCACGGCACGAGCUGACGACAACCAUGCAGCACCUCGUAUAAUGUUAUUGCUAACUAAUCUAAUCUCUUAAAUUAUUCAUCAUACGUUCAAGUUCGGGUAAGGUUCCUCGCGUAUCAUCGAAUUAAACCACAUGCUCCUCCGCUUGUGCGGGCCCCCGUCAAUUCCUUUGAGUUUCAACCUUGCGAUCGUACUCCCCAGGUGGAUAACUUAUAUCUUUCAAUUCGACACUGACUGUAUAUCGCCAACAUCUAGUUAUCAUCGUUUACAGCGUGGACUACCA